UACGGGGGGGGCAAGCGUUGUUCGGAAUUACUGGGCGUAAAGGGCUCGUAGGUGGCCAACUAAGUCAGACGUGAAAUCCCUCGGCUUAACCGGGGAACUGCGUCUGAUACUGGAUGGCUUGAGUUUGGGAGAGGGAUGCGGAAUUCCAGGUGUAGCGGUGAAAUGCGUAGAUAUCUGGAGGAACACCGGUGGCGAAGGCGGCAUCCUGGACCAACACUGACGCUGAGGCGCGAAAGCGUGGGGAGCAAACAGG
rnacentral:rRNA from 1 species